UACGUAGGUGGCAAGCGUUGUCCGGAAUUAUCGGGCGUAAAGCGCGCGCAGGUGGUUUCUUAAGUCUGAUGUGAAAGCCCACGGCUCAACCGUGGAGGGUCAUUGGAAACUGGGGAACUUGAGUGCAGAAGAGGAAAGUGGAAUUCCACGUGUAGCGGUGAAAUGCGUAGAGAUGUGGAGGAACACCAGUGGCGAAGGCGACUUUCUGGUCUGUAACUGACACUGAGGCGCGAAAGCGUGGGGAGCAAACAGG
rnacentral:rRNA from 1 species